UGAAGACAGGGUCAUGAACAAGAGGAAUACAAACCAGCCUUCGUUUGAUUGCAUCAUGUUUAAUGCAAAAGAGAGGAAAGCUAAUUGAUUUCCUGCUUAUUAGGCAAAAGAGUCUGUCUUGUUUUGAUGGAGACAUUGAAAAUGUAGUGUUGAAAAGGAGAAAAGGGGUGAGAAAUAGAGACUUGAACAGGCUUUUCUCCAGAUCUGAGGAGCGAUUGGAGCUUGGGAGUAAAGUUCGAUUGAGUUUCUCCUUUUUAAAAAAAGUCCUUUUAAAUAAAAAUCUACUCGCUAUUACGGAUAUUUUUCUGGAAGAGCAUCGCAACUCUUCCUUUCCCUUUGAAAUAUCAAACUCUCUCCUCUCUUCUGUGCAACUGUCUUUCAGAUAUUUGAAGAACCAAAGGCAAAGGAAAGAAGCAAUCCUGGGAUAAGGCCCGUUCCGCCCCAACUCUUCCAUCAUCUGAAGCUUCUCGGCAAAGAUCUUUCUCUGUAAGGUAAAAAGCACACGGCAUUUUUCCACGUGACGGCUCUAAUAUCAAAAGGAGCAUCUGUUCUCCUGGUGGAGUCUCUCAAUCAGCCGCGUGCCCUUACGGGGUACGUCGGACGAAGUUCUACCAAGGAUUUCAAAGAGGUUCAAAGAUGAAAGCGGACAUUAAAGGAGCCGGACCACCAUUAAAAGAGGGAGCUUUGACAUCUCCGGGUUUACAAGUUAACAUAUUUGGCAUGCACAAAAAGCAGGCAACCUUUCAAGUACUACACAGAACAACGAAAAAAAGGAGAGCAAAGGCAUUAUUAAUAGGGGAGUCUUCUUUAAAGGUUAACAGCAUUGGGUUAAUUUCAUAACUGUACUGUUUCUCUACAGCCCUUACUUUUCCCCAUGCUUGAUGGAAAAGGUCACCUUUCGCUUCUGAGUUAAACUUAAGAAUGGCUGUCUUUUGGGGUUUUUAAAAAUUAAAAUUAGGACUACAAAGAAUUGCUUCAGGCUGAAAUUACUCUUUCUUGGAUCCUGAGGGUUUUUCU
rnacentral:lncRNA from 1 species